rnacentral:rRNA from 1 species
AAGCUCGUAGUUGAAUUUCGGGGUUCUACCGUUGGUCGGGCUAACCAGUCUGUACUAGCGUGUAGAAUCCCUACCUUCUGGGGAACCAUCAUGUUAUUAAUUUAGCGUGGUGGGAAACCAGGACCUUUACCUUGAAAAAAUUAGAGUGUUCAAAGCAGGCUUACGUCUGAAUACAUUAGCAUGGAAUAAUAAAAUAGGACGGUGGUCCUGUUUUGUUGGUUUCUGAAUCACCGUAAUGAUUAAUAGGGAUAGUUGGG